UUGCUGAUUGGACAGUUUACUCAAAGAGGAGGUUGAAAUAAUCAGUAUAACUGCUGAUACACUGAAGAAAACACAAUGAUUGAUUUCAACAAGAUCAUAAAACACUCAGAGAAAACAAAAUGAUUGUCGUUUUAAUAAUCAUUACUUUUAACACUGUUCUGGUUUCAGGUGCCUCUGUCAGUGACAAAGUCCAACAGACUCCAGCUGACAUUCACAAGAAACAAGGACAAACAGCCAAAAUCUACUGCUCACACAAUGAUGACAACUAUGACCAAAUCCUCUGGUACAAGAAGUCAGACAGAGAACUACAGUUCCUGGGAUACAUGUUAACAAUCUCAGGAAAACCUGCGGAUGGAGUGAAUGUAAAGAUAGAAGGGGGUGCAAGUAAAGGCCAGAAUUGCACAUUAACAAUUGAAGGACUCAGCCUGAACAACAGUGCAGUGUACUUCUGUGCUGCUAGUUACCACAGUGCUACACAUCACUGCUCCUCAGUACAAAAACCUCACUGCCACAUAUUUAAUCAGUUCACAGCUCCUUACACUUGUGCUCCCUCCUCUCAUUAGGUGGCAGUAUAUCACUGCACCACACGCUGGUUUUAACGUUAGAGGAAGAGGACAUAAUAUGACACCACCCACCUACAGAGCUCAUGUUUAUUUUACAUAUAUCAGAGUGUACUCAGGAAGGAGCUCAUUAUAACUGCUGUUACGCUGAAGAAAACAGGAUGAUUCAAAGUACCAAGAUUCAACCAAACAUUUAACCAAACACAAAAUGAUGCUCCUAUUUUCUUUUCUCAUAAUUAUGACUUUGAACACUGAUCUGGUUUCAGGUGCCUCUGUCAGUGACAAAGUCCAACAGACUCCAGCUGACAUUCACAAGAAACAAGAACAAACAGCCAAAAUCUACUGUUCACACAGUAUAGACAGCUAUAAUCGAAUCCUCUGGUACAAGCAAUUAAAGAAUGGACAGCUACAGUUCUUGGGAUACAUGUUUAAAAACACUGGAAACCCAGAAAAGGGACUGAAUGUCAGCAUGGAUGGGAGUGCAGAUAAAGGCCAGAAUUGCACAUUAACAAUUGAAGGACUCAGCCUGAGCAGCAGUGCAGUGUACUUCUGUGCUGCCAGUUACCACAGUGCUACAUAUCACUG